GGGCCCGCACAAGCGGUGGAGUAUGUGGUUUAAUUCGAUGCAACGCGAAGAACCUUACCAGGGUUUGACAUCCUGCGAAUCUCUUGGAAACGAGAGAGUGCCUUCGGGAGCGCAGUGACAGGUGGUGCAUGGCUGUCGUCAGCUCGUGUCGUGAGAUGUUGGGUUAAGUCCCGCAACGAGCGCAACCCACGUCUUUAGUUGCCAGCAUUUAGUUGGGCACUCUAGAGAGACCGCCGGUGAUAAACCGGAGGAAGGUGUGGAUGACGUCAAGUCAGCAUGCCCCUUACGCCCUGGGCUACACACGUACUACAAUGGCCGAGACAAAGAGUCGCAAGUUUGCAAAGACAAGCUAAUCUCAUAAACUCGGUCUCAGUUCGGAUUGCAGGCUGCAACUCGCCUGCAUGAAGUUGGAAUC
rnacentral:rRNA from 1 species